rnacentral:rRNA from 1 species
AUGCCGCGUGAGUGAUGAAGGCCCUAGGGUUGUAAAGCUCUUUUGUGCGGGAAGAUAAUGACGGUACCGCAAGAAUAAGCCCCGGCUAACUUCGUGCCAGCAGCCGCGGUAAUACGAAGGGGGCUAGCGUUGCUCGGAAUCACUGGGCGUAAAGGGUGCGUAGCGGGUCUUUAAGUCAGGGGUGAAAUCCUGGAGCUCAACUCCAG